rnacentral:rRNA from 1 species
GACGAACGCUGGCGGCGUGCCUAACACAUGCAAGUCAACUUGACUGAAGGAGCAAUCUGACAGUAGAGUGGCGCAAGGGUGCGUAACGCGUAAGUAACUUGCCCCAAGGUAAGGAAUAACGUCGAGAAAUCGGCGCUAAUACCUCAUAAUGCAGCGGAUCCGCAUGGAUAUGUUGUUAAAGGUUUACCGCCUUGGGAUAGGCUUGCGUCUGAUUAGCUAGUUGGUGUGGUAACGGCACACCAAGGCUACGAUCAGUAACUGGUCUGAGAGGAUGAUCAGUCACACUGGAACUGAGACACGGUCCAGACUCCUACGGGAGGCAGCAGUGAGGAAUAUUGGGCAAUGCUCGAAAGAGUGACCCAGCAACGCCGCGUGGAGGAUGAAGGUAUUCUAUAUCGUAAACUCCUAGUGAGAGCAGACGAAAGACAGAUUAUUAAUCUGGAUGACUGUAUGCUCAGAGGAAG